UAAAAAGCUCGUAGUCGGAGGUGUGUCUCGGACGGUCGGUUCGCCGCUUGUCGGUGCUCAACUGGCCGGUCCGGACGUCCUGCCGGUGGGGCCGCGAGGCCCCGUCAUCCUUCUUUGGUCCUCUUCACCGAGUGCCUUGGUGGGCCGGCACGUUUACUUUGAACAAAUUAGAGUGCUCAAAGCAGGCCGUUGGUCGCCUGAAUACUGUGUGCAUGGAAUAAUGGAAUAGGACCUCGGUUCCAUUUUGUUGGUUUUCAGAACUCGAGGUAAUGAUUAAUAGGGACGGACGGGGGCAUUCGUAUUGCGACGUUAGAGGUGAAAUUCUUGGAUCGUCGCAAGACGAACCGAUGCGAAAGCAUUUGCCAAGAACGUUUUCGUUGAUCAAGAACGAAAGUUAGAGGUUCGAAGGCGAUCAGAUACCGCCCUAGUUCUAACCAUAAACGAUGCCAGCUAGCCAUCCGCCGAAGUUCCUUCUAUGACUCGGCGGGCAGCUUCCGGGAAACCAAAGCUCUUGGGUUCCGGGG
rnacentral:rRNA from 1 species